GUCAAGGUCUACCCAUAUGAAAUGCUCGCGGUUACUAACAGAGGACGAGUGAAGCUUCCCAAGGAUGUUGACAGAACGAGACUCGAGCGUCACCUGUCCCCCGAGUCAUUCUUCGAUUUCUUUGGCAUGGAGAUUCAAGAAUUUGACAGACUUCCUCUUUGGAAGCGUAAUGACAUGAAGAAGAAGGCAGACCUCUUCUAAAUGAUGCCAUAAUGCCGAGUUUAACUCCUCUGUGAUGUGCAGUAUAUGUGUUCUGAUUAAUCCUGUGUUUUAUUUCUUUGCAUUUAGCUUUUGCCUGACAACAGGACAGGUCAUACCUUUCCGGGGACACAACACUGUACUUCCCAUUAGUCUCUGUAGACUGUUGCAUAAAAAUAGAACACCUGAGAACACAAGAACUCAGCAAAGCUUUGGUAAUACAUACAUGUUUUUUUGUGUUUCCCAAGUCUGCUCUGCAUCCCCAAGAAUUAUGUUCAUAUUGGACAAGUCAUCUGUAUAUAAUUAUUGUCCUUUGACCGUAAAUGUAACAAGUAGUUUGACAUUUAUGUAGCUCAGUGAAAAGUAUGGAGAGAGGGCAAACAGCAGUGUGUACUUUGAGAGUUUGCAUCCUGUUUCAAGCCAUCAGGUAGUGUUGACUUUUGUAGUAUUUACCAAUGAAGACAGUGUUUCCCUUCUGUUACCUUAAAUAACCCCGUCUGGUAAAAAUCAAGGUGUUUUUUUUUUUUUUUUUUACCUUGUUAAAAUGCCCAUAUGGGACACAAGUGGGAGACAUUUCAUGAACACAGUAAACUGUCAAUGUCAUGGCUGAGCAUUUCCAUCUUAAAACUGCAGCAUACCAGUGACAGCCUCCAAAGUAAAUAUUCCCAGAGUUUUGUAUGCAACAAACGUCAAGAAGCAAUCCUGACAAAUUUCUGCUUCAGUUCAGUUCAAUUUAUGUGACGUCAGUUUACAUAUGCCAUCUCAAGGCACUUCACUUCAUAGGGUCAAGACCUUAUGAAAUUUAUAUGAAGAGAUUCAACAAAUCCAGUGUUUCUUUUGGAUUCACUUUGAGUAAGAACUUUGCAACAAUGGGGAGAACCAGCCUCAAGGAUGGCAACCAUCUGCCUCAACCAGUUAGGGUGAGGCUAAAGGGGAGAGAACAACAGACAAACAAUGCAUAAGAAAACAAUAAACACUCUGUAGGUCAGUGAGUCCAGUAACUAAAGAUCAGAAACAUGUAGCUCCAGAUCCCAAGACACCUGCAGAGAGGACAAAACAAACUACGAGAGAGAGAAGACACAAACAUGCAAUGAUGGCAUAUAUUUGUAUGUUGAGUCAGACAGGUUAAUAGAGCAGAGUGCAUCAUGGGAAGUCAGGCCUGCAGUCUAGACCUGAAGCAGCAUAACUAAGGGUUGAUUCAUUGUUCUUCAGAAUCAGCUUCUUGGUCAAACAUGUAAAACCGGCAAUAUUACGACUGGCAGCCCAGAGUUUCAUAAUGUUUGAGUAGAGAUGCAGGUGAGCUGAUGUGCCCCAGCUGCAGCAAGCAGAGGAGAGUUGUUUCUAAGUCAUUUUUAUACACAAAGGACUUAUUUUCAAAGGAAAAAGUUAGGAAUUUGCAACAGAGAUGCGUUUUUAGGGGUUAAAUCCCCACCAGAGUGGGACGUUGAUCUUCAUUUAACUGAAAAAUGCAUUUUUGGUACGUUUUCACUCCACCGAUGACAUGAUCAUUGAUCACUGUUUAGAGAUGAUUGUGCAAAACUGCGGUUUACAUGACUGCAUCUCUACACAAACAAACCUAAAAGCACAAUUUCAUCAGUGCGUUCAUUUGUUUGCUUUCGGAUAAAUAAAGAAUCACUGACAGAGUUUAAGAUUUGAUUACUGACGGUAAAGUCAAAGAUGCUGGAUCACUAAUAUGUCCCUUUUCUGAGUAAUACUUGAUGCAUGCUGUCAUGAUUGUGUACAUGAACUCCACAUAAACUUUGCAUCAACAUGUUUCUAAGACAAGCUAUUAAAUGAUUCACUGAAGGACUAAUGCUAUAUUUUUAUUCAACUGCUCCUUAUUUUGUUGUCUCCUGGUUACACAAACAAGAUCUUUGAGCAUUUAAAGAAAAAAAAUUGUAUUUUUGUGUUCAUGAAUUAUCACUGAAAUGUGCUUUAUUGUAUUGUUGAAGAAAUUCACACUUAUUUUUGUUAUAUUUCCCGCAGAUCCAGCUGUGGUAAACCUCCCUGUAUAUGCUACCUUGACAUUGCUGUUACUGUCCCACCACCCUAAAGAUUCCUAAAUAAAAUCUUUCACCUCUCACAA